AUUGACUACUUGCCUAUUUAAUGCUUAUUAGUUAUAAAAACGAGAAGACGACAGACGUAAUUUAUUAAACCAUGGAUUCUUCUAAUUAUUCAAGCUGGACUUUAUUGGCGCUCAGGAGAGAACUGAACAAACGAGGUGUAAGGACAAGUGGGAGGAAGUCCGAUCUGAUAGAGCGGCUUGUCUCGUAUCAACGAAACGCUUACUUCCCAGGCCCAGUUGUUCAUAUCCCAGACGGGAUUCCAAUGCCAAUCUGGCGGGAUUCUGGGGACUUAAAAGUAUUGUUAAGUCAGAUAGGACGUCUAUUCCUCCCAUAUCAAAGGCUCACAUUGAGCAUUAUGUUAUACAUCGGCAAGUAGGGGACGAUAUUCAAAAUUUGGAUAUUGCGCAAAGGGGAAAAAUGAAAGACUCGGUCUUGGCCUUGAGCUUCGUGGAAUCAAAAGAAAACAUACAUCAACACUAUUUUCUGGAAAGGUCGUUAAUAGCCAUUGUGAAUGUGUAGCAGGAAUCGGUCUACACGGGACCUGUAAACAUGUAGGUUCUGCCCUCCUGAUAAUAGAAAAUUGUGUUUCUAAUGGCAUUCUAUAUAUAUCAAAGUCCUCUACAGAGACACUACAGACUUUUAAACGUCCCACAAAAUUAUAUGUUGGAGAACCCGUAGUGCCUGAAAAACUGUGCAGAGAUUUGUUUGAAAAAUGUUAGUAUAGACCACUUUAACUGUACAAAAACUAGGUGUCAACAAUGACGAUGAUCCUAGACCUUAGCGUUUCCGCAACAGACCUGAAUUUGUUGAUGAGUUCAAAACGACCAUCUUGAAUUCUCAAUUAAGUACAACAUAGCAAUAUAGCUUUGGGUCUGCAAGUCUGAAAACAGCCAUCCUCGAUCACGAAUAUUUGGCACAAUCCUUUAUCUAUUAUUAGAUGAAAGACUGUGUCAAAGUAUCUGACCAGGAUAUCAUAAAAUUGAGAAGAAUACUCAAGUGUAGUCUCCGGCAUGGAAAAUAGAACGGAUAUGGAGAUUGACUGCCUCCAGAUUUGGUGACAUUAGUAAGUCAUGUCAUGGGCAAGACUUUAACAAACUGGCAGAGUCAAUAUAUCAGCCCAAAUUUUUUUUGUAUCUGCUGCUAUUUCCCAAGGCGCAUGAGUCUUCUGGCUAUAAAAAGUUUACCCAAUUAACCAAAAAAAAAUGUUACCAUUGAUGCAUAGUAUCCCUUUUUGGAUGCAUCUCCAGAUGGACUUGUAGAAGAAGACUCAAUCAUCCAAGUGAAAUUUCCUUAUUCAGGACCUUAUGAUAAAAUUGCUCCAGGAUCUAAAUUUCCAUUUUUGGAGAUUCGUAGUAGCGAUAUUAAGUUAAAAAUAAAUCACAAUUAUUACUAACAAAUUCAAGUUCAGCUACGAGCAGCAAGGAAAUCAAAAGGGUUUUUUGUAGUCUUCACAUUUGAAGAUACUUAUAUUGAGGAAAUUAUAUUGAGUAAUAAAUUCUUUAAUGAGGAUAUACUGCCUCCUCUCAUCAAAUUUUAUAAUUAUUAUUAUGUAAAAUACAUAUCAAAUCAGCUAUGACUAAACAUUUUGAUUUCCUCGGUGUAGGUGGUAAUAGUUGUAUAAUUUUCUAAGUAGGGGCAUUUCAUCUCAAAUGUUGAGUAUUAUUUCACAACUUCAUCGGAAGACGUAAUCAAAAAGGAGAUACCUGGUCCUUUUUGUUAUGUUAACAUAUUCUAACACAUUAUUUUCUGCUGCCAUAUGUUUAUAGUCCCUAAGAAUAAAUAUAUAAAUAUUUUAUA
rnacentral:lncRNA from 1 species